CCCACGCGGUCCUUGGAUUGAGGGGCGUGGUGUGAGGGGCGCGCCGGCUGCAGGCUGGGGUCCCGGCCCAGGGGCGGCACCGGAAGGGAGGGGAGGGCGGCGCAGAGCGCGGGGCGGUGGCUGGAGAUAUUGGGGAGGGGGCUGAGUUGGGGGGAGCCUGAGGAAAAGGGGCCAACGGGGGGAGAGCAGCCCUCUGGGCACGAGUUAGAGGAAAAUGGCGCCCUCCCUGGCCGGUUGGGGUCCGCGUGGAGGCGAGGAGGCGGAGGGGCCCGGGUGUGGCGGAGAGGACGAGGUGCGAGGGGGAGGAACCGACGCGACGCCCUGGAGCCAGAGGGAGUGAAUCUCAGGGAGGCUGUGUUUCUCCGUGACUUGUCCUGAUGCCAGACGGUCAAAGAACGUGGAUGUACACAAGAAGGAAAUUACUCCUGGAAUUGAAUCAUACCAAGAAUUUCACCAGAGGAUUUUAUACAUUUGGGCUGUGGCAGCAGACCAAUUAAACCACAGAGCUGGUCUAGAGGUGAGAAGUCCAAGAUCAAGAGUGAGCAGAGUUGGUUUCUUCUAAGGAGCCUGAGGGAAGAAUCUGUUCCAAGUCUCUCUCCUUGACUUUUAGGUGGCCGUCUCCUCCUGUGUCUUCACACUGUCUCUUCUCUAUAUUGAAGUUACAAAGGAUAAAACCUACGACCAGGAUAUCAGAUUGCAUUCAGUCAUCGUGUUCCAUUCGUCUCCAUUCGGCGACCAUUGUUUGAUCUUUCCUGACCAUAACAGUUUCAAAGAGUGCUGGUCAGGUAUUUUGUAGGCUGUCCCUCAGUUUGGGUUUGCCUGCUGGUUGGGUUUGCUGUGGCUACAUCGGGAAUACGGAUUUGGGGGAAGACUACCACACAGACAAACUGCCCUUUUCACUGCAUCAUAUUAGGGGUACAUGGCAUCAAUAUGACUUAGGAUUGGUGAUGUUAACCUUAAGCGUUUGGCUAGGGUAGUAUCUCGGGUUUCUCUACUUACUGUUUCUCUUUCCAUGCACUGUUCUUUAGAAGAGAGUCAUUAAAUCCAGUUCACACUCGAGGUCGGGGGGCGGGGGUGUAUUUUAAAACUGCAUUCUAUCAACCCUUAUCUAAUGUCCCUUUUUACCUCCCACUUCCAAAAGUCCACUCUGUUCCUGAGCAAAGCUUUGGAAGAUUCUGUGAUACAUUUCAGUUCAGUUCUUGGCUUUCUCCACUAUAUCCCAAGUCACUUGUCUGCAUCCUGGCUUCCAAAAUUUUGUUGCUAUCGUCUCCUCUCCUCUUUGUAUUUACGGUUUUAUGGGCUUUGAAAAAAUCCCUUUACGGUAGUUUUAGUGAGCUUUCAGAGGAAGUGAAAUUGAAUUAGUAUGUUCCAUCUGCCAUCUUUAUCUGGCAGCCUUGGGGGAAACAUUUUUUAAUCAUCAGAAUUGACAUUUAAUCUGUUUGGAUUUGCCAUUUCUAUUUGUUAUAAUUCUACCAUUAAUAUAAUCCAUGAAAUCACUGAAUGCUUUUUUGGGUAUCAUUGUGGUAUCAUUGUUGCAUUUCAUGAAACACUGUGAUCCGUCACGAAACUCAGUUCGAGGCACCUGGGUGGCUCAGUUGGUUAAGGGUCCAACUUCUGCUCAGGUCAUGAUCUCACGGUUUGUGGGUUUGAGCCCCGCAUCAGAUUCUGUGUCUCCCUGUCUCUCUGCCCCUCCUCUGUUCGCAUUCUGUCUCUCUGUCUCUCUCAAAAAUAAAUAAACAUUAAAAGAAGAAGAAGAAGAAGAAGAAGAAGAAGAAGAAGAAGAAGAAAGAGACUCAGUUCACAGCUAGAGAAGUAAGGCUUCUAAUGUUGGUUGGCAUGAUUGGCCCUGAUUAUCAAAGGUAAAUUAGGGUUACUGCUGUAAAGCCAGGCUUAGGCAGAGUAUGGAAUGCUUCUUUUAACAUGCCCAGUUAUUAAAUCUAACAAAAAACAAGACAGACUUGGAUACCUCAGGAAUCUAAAUUUGAGUUAUUCAACUUGGCAAAGAACCUUAACUGGCUUAUGCUAGCCAAGGGCAAUCAAAACUUGAAUGGGUAGAGGAAGGGAGUUAAAAUACCCACAAUGGCUUCUUUAACAGUAGCAGAAAUGAGGACUGGAGUCCUUUGCUGUCUUUCUUUUCCUCUCCCUGGUCUUUCAUCUUUAUGUUUCUAGAACAGUGUUAGGUUUACAGCACAAUUGAGAGGAAGGUACAGAGAUUUCCCACAUAUUCCCUACCCCCACACAUGCAUAGCCUCCCCCAAUCACUAGAAUGGUACAUUUUUAUUUUAAUCAAUCAAUCAAUUAAUUGCCAAGGAUGCACCCAUACUGACAUAUCAUAAUCACCCAAAGUCCGUAGUUUGCCUCAGGGUUCACUUUUGGUGUUGUACAUUUCAUGGGUUUGGACAAACGUGUAAUGACAUAUGUCUAUCAUUACAAUAUCGUAGAGAGUAUUUUCACUGCCCUAAAAAUCCUCUGUGCUCUGCCUGUUUAUCCCUCCUCCAAUCCCUUGACAACCACUGAUCUUUUUAUUAUCUCCAUAGUUUUGCCUUUUUCGGAAUGUCAUCGAGUUGAAAUCAUACAGUAUAUAGUCUUUAUUCAUCUUUUACUUUCCUACAAUUUUAAACAAAGUAUUUUGAUAUUGGUUUUGCUUGUCAUUUAGCGACUGGGUUGCACUUGUUUCUUUUUUUAUGCAUUUUUAUAGUUUCUGUUACUUUUUCUAUUGGUAAUGUGACUCUAUGGCUCAAAAGCCAAACAACACAGAGUGUAUACUAAGAAUACUCCCUCCUACCUCUGUCUACCUUGUUCUCCUUCACCCCUACCCACUGUAAGUAACCACUUGUAUUACUUCUGUGUGUGUGUUUCUUUAUGCGAGUACAAACUUAUAUUCUUAUUCUUUCUCUUCUUACACAAAAGAUAACACACGACUUCUAUUCCGUGCUCUCUUCACUGAAUAAUUUGUGUUCGUUCAUAGGGGUUUUCCUUGUUCUUUUUCACAGCUCUGUAGAUGUCCCAUUAUUUAUUUAACCAGUUCCCUUACAGAAAGUGAUGUGUUUGUUUCUCGAUUUUGGCUUUGCAAACAAUCCUGCAGUGAAUAACCUCUUACAAACCUCAUUUUGUAAGUGUGUAGAUAUAUUUUUAUAUAAAUUCCCAGAAGGGGGAAAGUUUCAGAAUAUUGAUAGCAUUAUAAUGGAUGGGAUUAUACGUUACAAUGUAUAGCAUUAUAACGUAUGCGAGUGGGAUUAGCGGUCAUCUGCUUUAAUAGCCAGGGACAACCAGGAAAAUAGCAACUAUGUUUUAGUAUUUACAACAGAGAAAAUAUAAUACAAGGAAAUGGCUACCCUAUAGAACUGAGCACCUAACUGAGAAAAUGAAGCAACUCAAAGGUUAGUAACAGUGGAAGAACCACUGCUUGUAUCCCGGAGAGACAAAAGUGAGAAAGCUGUGUUACUGAAUCCCGGAGCUGGGGCUCAUCUGUUGGAGGUUAGGACCUCAAAGACCUGUCUAGUGAGUACUGGGGCCCCUAAGGAGUUACAGUCCCUGCCAGAGAAGUGCCUGAGAUAGAAGAGAGAGGGAGAGGGGCGCCUGGCUGGCCCAGUCAGUUGGGCGUCCAACUCUUGAUCUUGGCUCAGGUCAUGAUCUGGCAGUUCGUGGGUUCGAGCCCCGCAUCAGGCUCUCUACUGACAGUGUGGAGCCUGCUUGGGAUUCUCUGUCUCUGUCUCUGUCUCUCUCUCAGUCUUGCCGUCUCAAAAUAAAUAAACUUAAAAGGAGAGAGAGAAAGGGAGACUGGCUUAGCCCUUCUUGCCCUUUUCCUCUAGUCCUUCAGAAACCAGCUGAUAGUGAGCCUGGGCACCACAUUUGAGAGAAGUCAGCACCCCCAUCAUACGUUGCAGAGCACCAGAAGGACAGACAUGAAUUUGAGGGCAAAUGGACUCAGCAUCUAUAUAGCCCCCCCUUUUUACUACUUAGCAUUUAAGUUCACUCUUCUACUCCUGUUCAAUACUUUCCUCCUACUGCCUGUCAUACAAAGACACUCUCUCCUUCUCCCCAAAGAAGAAGAGAGGCUCAGAAUCCCAUUAGUCCUCGUAUCCUUCUCAAGUUCAGGAUCUACUGGUGAUCCUCGUUCCUCUCCAGAGAGUCCAGAGAGAGAGACAGAGUGUGAGUGGGGAAGGGGCACACACAGAGAGGGAGACACAGAAUCCGAA